ACGAGCUUUAUCAAAGGGUAAGCUCAAGAUUCUGGUUUCUGUUUUUAACUAAAAGCUUUCGCUUAAGCAGCCAGGAAAAUAUUGCAAAGCGUGCCGCUGCAUACGGCUUUCAAGUGUUAUCAGAGGUGAUCAGAACAAGAGGGCUAAUCAAGUUGGGAUGAAGAAGAGAGUGCUCUAAAGUGCGUUGUGACAAGUGUGUUGUUAACCUGUUAAAAGCACCGUUUCUUAUGGGAUUAUGGAAUGAAUAGAAGGAGGAAGGAGGAAUAGAAAAGAGGAAGCAAAACGCAGGCAUUCAAGAUAUUCAAAACACAACUAAUGAUUUUGAACACAACGUACUGUUUCGGAAAAGGUUUACAUGAUGUCAACGGUGUAUAAUUUAUAGUCUAAGGGCAAGUUCUUAUGGAUGUGCGUCUUGUUUUGAGCAAGCUAGAGCUAAAAACCGGGGCAUAAUAUAGAAAAUUUU